UGUUUGUGCAAACUGCUUACAUUACUGAAUUGGUGAAAUGCAAAUAAUGAAUGAUAUUAAAAUUGUUCGAAACUUCAAAAAUUCUGGAAAAAAUACCUAAAACUGUAUUGUUUUACUUGCGAACUACGAAAAGUAGCCCAAAAUAAUUUUUAAGAAUCGUCAGCAAAAUCUGGGAGGACUACUGCUUGAAAGAAAAAAAUUAAAAAUAAGGAGACCCGCUGUUCUUUUUAACCGCCCGCACCCCCAAAGAAAUGCCUGGACGAUGUUUAAUAUGCACAGCCGAGCCAGCAUUCAUUUAAUUUAUGACUUUUUCUAAUUUUUACUCGAUGGUUCCGGGCCAGCUUUGAAGGUUUCUGUUUCGGUGGCGACUGCGCAUUCUCCUUUCGGAUGCUCUUUUAAGCAUCAGGUUUAAGCACUGCUUUAAAAUUUGAUCAAG